rnacentral:rRNA from 1 species
UUGAACGCUGGCGGCAGGCCUAACACAUGCAAGUCGAACGGUAACAGGAAGCAGCUUGCUGCUUUGCUGACGAGUGGCGGACGGGUGAGUAAUGUCUGGGAAACUGCCUGAUGGAGGGGGAUAACUACUGGAAACGGUAGCUAAUACCGCAUAACGUCGCAAGACCAAAGAGGGGGACCUUCGGGCCUCUUGCCAUCGGAUGUGCCCAGAUGGGAUUAGCUUGUUGGUGGGGUAACGGCUCACCAAGGCGACGAUCCCUAGCUGGUCUGAGAGGAUGACCAGCCACACUGGAACUGAGACACGGUCCAGACUCCUACGGGAGGCAGCAGUGGGGAAUAUUGCACAAUGGGCGCAAGCCUGAUGCAGCCAUGCCGCGUGUAUGAAGAAGGCCUUCGGGUUGUAAAGUACUUUCAGCGGGGAGGAAGGGAGUAAAGUUAAUACCUUUACUCAUUGACGUUACCCGCAGAAGAAGCACCGGCUAACUCCGUGCCAGCAGCCGCGGUAAUACGGAGGGUGCAAGCGUUAAUCGGAAUUACUGGGCGUAAAGCGCACGCAGGCGGUUUGUUAAGUCAGAUGUGAAAUCCCCGGGCUCAACCUGGGAACUGCAUCUGAUACUGGCAAGCUUGAGUCUCGUAGAGGGGGGUAGAAUUCCAGGUGUAGCGGUGAAAUGCGUAGAGAUCUGGAGGAAUACCGGUGGCGAAGGCGGCCCCCUGGACGAAGACUGACGCUCAGGUGCGAAAGCGUGGGGAGCAAACAGGAUUAGAUACCCUGGUAGUCCACGCCGUAAACGAUGUCGACUUGGAGGUUGUGCCCUUGAGGCGUGGCUUCCGGAGCUAACGCGUUAAGUCGACCGCCUGGGGAGUACGGCCGCAAGGUUAAAACUCAAAUGAAUUGACGGGGGCCCGCACAAGCGGUGGAGCAUGUGGUUUAAUUCGAUGCAACGCGAAGAACCUUACCUGGUCUUGACAUCCACAGAACUUUCCAGAGAUGGAUUGGUGCCUUCGGGAACUGUGAGACAGGUGCUGCAUGGCUGUCGUCAGCUCGUGUUGUGAAAUGUUGGGUUAAGUCCCGCAACGAGCGCAACCCUUAUCCUUUGUUGCCAGCGGUCCGGCCGGGAACUCAAAGGAGACUGCCAGUGAUAAACUGGAGGAAGGUGGGGAUGACGUCAAGUCAUCAUGGCCCUUACGACCAGGGCUACACACGUGCUACAAUGGCGCAUACAAAGAGAAGCGACCUCGCGAGAGCAAGCGGACCUCAUAAAGUGCGUCGUAGUCCGGAUUGGAGUCUGCAACUCGACUCCAUGAAGUCGGAAUCGCUAGUAAUCGUAGAUCAGAAUGCUACGGUGAAUACGUUCCCGGGCCUUGUACACACCGCCCGUCACACCAUGGGAGUGGGUUGCAAAAGAAGUAGGUAGCUUAACCUUCGGGAGGGCGCUUACCACUUUGUGAUUCAUGACUGGGGUG